rnacentral:tRNA from 1 species
GCGGAAAUGGCGGAACGGCAGACGCUGCGGUCUUAAAAACCGCUGGGCUGAGGCCCGUGUGGGUUCGAAUCCCACUUUCCGCACCC